AUUGAACGCUGGCGGCAGGCCUAACACAUGCAAGUCGAGCGGAUGAAGGGAGCUUGCUCCUGGAUUCAGCGGCGGACGGGUGAGUAAUGCCUAGGAAUCUGCCUGGUAGUGGGGGAUAACGUCCGGAAACGGGCGCGAAUACCGCAUACGUCCUGAGGGAGAAAGUGGGGGAUCGUCGGACCUCACGCUAUCAGAUGAGCCUAGGUCGGAUUAGCUAGUUGGUGGGGUAAAGGCCUACCAAGGCGACGAUCCGUAACUGGUCUGAGAGGAUGAUCAGUCACACUGGAACUGAGACACGGUCCAGACUCCUACGGGAGGCAGCAGUGGGGAAUAUUGGACAAUGGGCGAAAGCCUGAUCCAGCCAUGCCGCGUGUGUGAAGAAGGUCUUCGGAUUGUAAAGCACUUUAAGUUGGGAGGAAGGGCAGUAAGUUAAUACCUUGCUGUUUUGACGUUACCAACAGAAUAAGCACCGGCUAACUUCGUG
rnacentral:rRNA from 1 species